GAGAGUAUCGCUUAGUGGUAGAGUGGGUGCUUAUCAUGCAGAAGGUCCUGGGUUCAAUCCCCAGUACCGCCU
rfam:Camelus ferus unplaced genomic scaffold scaffold483, whole genome shotgun sequence.